AGUGAACGCUGGCGGUAGGCCUAACACAUGCAAGUCGAACGGCAGCACAGUAAGAGCUUGCUCUUACGGGUGGCGAGUGGCGGACGGGUGAGGAAUACAUCGGAAUCUACUUUUUCGUGGGGGAUAACGUAGGGAAACUUACGCUAAUACCGCAUACGACCUACGGGUGAAAGCAGGGGAUCUUCGGACCUUGCGCGAUUGAAUGAGCCGAUGUCGGAUUAGCUAGUUGGCGGGGUAAAGGCCCACCAAGGCGACGAUCCGUAGCUGGUCUGAGAGGAGGAUCGGCCACACUGGAACUGAGACACGGUCCAGACUCCUAAGGGAGGCAGCAGUGGGGAAUAUUGGGCAAUGGGCGCAAGCCUGAUCCAGCCAUACCGCGUGGGUGAAGAAGGCCUUCGGGUUGUAAAGCCCUUUUGUUGGGAAAGAAAAGCAGCAGGUUAAUACCCAGCUGUUCUGACGGUACCCAAAGAAUAAGCACCGGCUAACUUCGUG
rnacentral:rRNA from 1 species